rnacentral:rRNA from 1 species
GUGACUGCGUACCUUUUGUAUAAUGGGUCAGCGACUUAUAUUCUGUAGCAAGGUUAACCGAAUAGGGGAGCCGAAGGGAAACCGAGUCUUAACUGGGCGUUAAGUUGCAGGGUAUAGACCCGAAACCCGGUGAUCUAGCCAUGGGCAGGUUGAAGGUUGGGUAACACUAACUGGAGGACCGAACCGACUAAUGUUGAAAAAUUAGCGGAUGACUUGUGGCUGGGGGUGAAAGGCCAAUCAAACCGGGAGAUAGCUGGUUCUCCCCGAAAGCUAUUUAGGUAGCGCCUCGUGAAUUCAUCUCCGGGGGUAGAGCACUGUUUCGGCAAGGGGGUCAUCCCGACUUACCAACCCGAUGCAAACUGCGAAUACCGGAGAAUGUUAUCACGGGAGACACACGGCGGGUGCUAACGUCCGUCGUGAAGAGGGAAACAACCCAGACCGCCAGCUAAGGUCCCAAAGUCAUGGUUAAGUGGGAAACGAUGUGGGAAGGCCCAGACAGCCAGGAUGUUGGCUUAGAAGCAGCCAUCAUUUAAAGAAAGCGUAAUAGCUCACUGGUCGAGUCGGCCUGCGCGGAAGAUGUAACGGGGCUAAACCAUGCACCGAAGCUGCGGCAGCGACGCUUAUGCGUUGUUGGGUAGGGGAGCGUUCUGUAAGCCUGCGAAGGUGUGCUGUGAGGCAUGCUGGAGGUAUCAGAAGUGCGAAUGCUGACAUAAGUAACGAUAAAGCGGGUGAAAAGCCCGCUCGCCGGAAGACCAAGGGUUCCUGUCCAACGUUAAUCGGGGCAGGGUGAGUCGACCCCUAAGGCGAGGCCGAAAGGCGUAGUCGAUGGGAAACAGGUUAAUAUUCCUGUACUUGGUGUUACUGCGAAGGGGGGACGGAGAAGGCUAUGUUGGCCGGGCGACGGUUGUCCCGGUUUAAGCGUGUAGGCUGGUUUUCCAGGCAAAUCCGGAAAAUCAAGGCUGAGGCGUGAUGACGAGGCACUACGGUGCUGAAGCAACAAAUGCCCUGCUUCCAGGAAAAGCCUCUAAGCAUCAGGUAACAUCAAAUCGUACCCCAAACCGACACAGGUGGUCAGGUAGAGAAUACCAAGGCGCUUGAGAGAACUCGGGUGAAGGAACUAGGCAAAAUGGUGCCGUAACUUCGGGAGAAGGCACGCUGAUAUGUAGGUGAAGUCCCUCGCGGAUGGAGCUGAAAUCAGUCGAAGAUACCAGCUGGCUGCAACUGUUUAUUAAAAACACAGCACUGUGCAAACACGAAAGUGGACGUAUACGGUGUGACGCCUGCCCGGUGCCGGAAGGUUAAUUGAUGGGGUCAGCGCAAGCGAAGCUCUUGAUCGAAGCCCCGGUAAACGGCGGCCGUAACUAUAACGGUCCUAAGGUAGCGAAAUUCCUUGUCGGGUAAGUUCCGACCUGCACGAAUGGCGUAAUGAUGGCCAGGCUGUCUCCACCCGAGACUCAGUGAAAUUGAACUCGCUGUGAAGAUGCAGUGUACCCGCGGCAAGACGGAAAGACCCCGUGAACCUUUACUAUAGCUUGACACUGAACAUUGAGCCUUGAUGUGUAGGAUAGGUGGGAGGCUUUGAAGUGUGGACGCCAGUCUGCAUGGAGCCGACCUUGAAAUACCACCCUUUAAUGUUUGAUGUUCUAACGUUGACCCGUAAUCCGGGUUGCGGACAGUGUCUGGUGGGUAGUUUGACUGGGGCGGUCUCCUCCUAAAGAGUAACGGAGGAGCACGAAGGUUGGCUAAUCCUGGUCGGACAUCAGGAGGUUAGUGCAAUGGCAUAAGCCAGCUUGACUGCGAGCGUGACGGCGCGAGCAGGUGCGAAAGCAGGUCAUAGUGAUCCGGUGGUUCUGAAUGGAAGGGCCAUCGCUCAACGGAUAAAAGGUACUCCGGGGAUAACAGGCUGAUACCGCCCAAGAGUUCAUAUCGACGGCGGUGUUUGGCACCUCGAUGUCGGCUCAUCACAUCCUGGGGCUGAAGUAGGUCCCAAGGGUAUGGCUGUUCGCCAUUUAAAGUGGUACGCGAGCUGGGUUUAGAACGUCGUGAGACAGUUCGGUCCCUAUCUGCCGUGGGCGCUGGAGAACUGAGGGGGGCUGCUCCUAGUACGAGAGGACCGGAGUGGACGCAUCACUGGUGUUCGGGUUGUCAUGCCAAUGGCACUGCCCGGUAGCUAAAUGCGGAAGAGAUAAGUGCUGAAAGCAUCUAAGCACGAAACUUGCCCCGAGAUGAGUUCUCCCUGACUCCUUGAGAGUCCUGAAGGAACGUUGAAGACGACGACGUUGAUAGGCCGGGUGUGUAAGCGCAGCGAUGCGUUGAGCUAACCGGUACUAAUGAACCGUGAGGCUUAACCUUACAACGCCGAAG